rnacentral:lncRNA from 1 species
CAAAAUUCAACCUGUACAUAACUAAAAUUAAAUUAAUAGUUUUGGACAAACAAAAUUAUUGAUUAAACCCAGUUUACUCCUCCAAAUGCUUACCCAAAAUUUUCACUUCACAACCUGGAUGGAAAACCACAAAUCGAUUCAAGAACUUCUCCAAAGGGAACCUUCAGACCAAGGAAAAGCCCCAACUUUAACCCUCAAAUUAUCCUUAAAUUUAGUUCUGUAAUGGGUGGUGAAACCCAAAACAAGACUUCACUAAUUGCCGAAAAACUCACCCAAAACCCACCGGGGAGGAGAUUGGACAGAGGGAAGAUCGGCGCAGCGGGGCUCGGCGUUGGAGGAGAAGCUCGGCUCGCUCACGGCGUGCGGCCCGGAGAAAGAGAUGGCGCGGCUCACAGCGUGGAGACGUCGUCGCUCACGGCUACUUGACAGACGGUCGGCGGCGUGUGGGCGAAGCGGCUGGACGUGGUGUCGUGGGAGGGAGUUGAACGGCCAGAAGCAAUAGUGAGCGUCGUUCAGCGUGAGGAAGAAGAAGGAAAUUUCCUAAUUUCUACUCUCUUUUAUUCAAUUGCACGUUACCCUAACAAACCCUACCUUUUAAAACAAAUAAACAAUCAUAACAAUAAUGAAAACCACUUUCAUUAGAAAAAUGAUUGAAAAGGCAAAUCUGCUAAGAAUAUAUACAACAUCCAAGCUAAUUAAAUUAGAAAUUACCUUGAAUUUUGGAAUGUUACAAAUUUGCAAUAUGUUCUUUUGUUUAU